GGGUGCGCAGGUACGUCACGUGGUCGUACGACAGCCAAUGAGAUCGGGCCGGCCGUGAAGCCUUCGGAGCAUUUUGGUCGGCGGUUCCGUCUAGAAAUCUCCUCUCGGCUGAGAUCCUGUCACCAAUGGAGGCUGAAGUUCUACAAUUCCACAGCUUUGUCAGACAAGCCCUGAGGACCCUGUCCUCCUCCAGGGAUGGCGCGGAAAUCACACGCACCUUGCAGGCGAUGAGGCAGUACCUGCAGCCGACUGAGGGAGAACGCUCACCGCAGAGCCAGGAAUUUUUAAAAGCGCAUUACUCCCGGUUCCUGCAAGUGCUAGUCAGUAAUCUGCAAGCUGAUUGGCUACGGCUGUUGCCUGACAACCAGCAGAGGGAGCUAUUGGAUGGGUUCUUCCUGGAUGGCCCUCCACACCAUGCCUACCUGGUGCUGCUGGAUGCCGUCACCUUGGCCAGCCCGGGCUUCCGGCAGAACCGGAGUGUAGAAAUCUUGGAACGGUUUCUUCAGGAACACCGGAUGGCUGAGCUGAUCUGGGAGGUGAGUCAAGAUGGCGAACUUCCACAAACAGACCGUGAGCCUCUGCUUGCCAGAAUCACUGCUCUUCCGGAUCACAUGGCUAACAAGCUUCAGGAGAGAAACCGGACAGUGUUUUACCCAGAGAACUACUACCCACUGCUGGGCCACGAGAUGCUGUCGGCCCUGGAGAGGGUCAGACAGCGACUGAGAGGCGGUUCGGACAGUUCCCUCUCCUUCGUCUCUCAGCUAUUGGGGAAGGUCUGCGUUCAGGGACACACUGAUGAUGUUCUGGGAGUGUUGGUGCCCGAGCUUGCUCUCCUCACCCAGUCGGAUUGCAUCUGGCGGCGGAUCUGCUGGCGGUUGGUGGAGUGUGUACCAGAGCGUUGGAUGGAGAGCGUGCUUUCUGGCGUGGUCCAGAGAGCGGAAGGUCCCGAAGUAUUAUCUCGGUUGCUAGGCAGUAUCGUUUUGAAGAACAAGAAGGCUGAGUUUCUCCUCACGCAUAAACUCCUUCUCUUACAAUAUCACCAUAAGACGUCUGUCCUACAAACCCUGCUGGGAUACUUGGCCAGGGAGGUGACUCGGGACACCCUGUUGAUAGAGGUGCUGAAGAGGCUGCUGGAGGUCUGGGGCAGCCGGAGUGCGGUCAGGCACAGCCCAAUCGAGCAGCAAGUGUACAUCGGCAGGGCCAUCGCCAUUGCUCUUGGAGAGCUCAGUCAGGCACAGACCCAGCAUCACCGAGCAGAGCUUCUCUCUCUGAUGACGGGAGGUGUGGACUGUCACCUGGACAGCAGUCUGGUGCGAGUGCGCCGGCUGGGGAUGGUGAUCGCAGAGUGCAUCAGCACGAAGGUGGACACCAGAGAACACCGCCUGACCUUCCAGUAUGAGGACGAUGAAGAGGCAAGGGAGAUUCGCUCGCUCUGCACUCCGAGACCCCUGUCCAGCUGGGAGAUCCCCCCACAGCCACACAGAAAUGGCGAAUCGCAGACAGACACCAGACAAGAAGCAGCUGAGAGCAGAGUCAGCGACCAGACAGAGACAGAGUCCGAGUUAGACAGUGAUGAUGAGCUGGUUCCCUAUGACCUGUCUGCAGACUCUGAGUUGUGUCGCAGUCGAGCCCCGAUGUAUGUCAGCGACUGUCUGGAGGUACUGCUGGCAUCGGACAAUCCCGAGAGGGUGGAAGGGAGCUUGAAGGUCUUGGAGGACCUGAUCAGAAAGAACCCGACUGCAGCCAGAGAGGUCAGUGUGGAACUCACCAAGGUCCUGCUACACCUUGAAGACAAGUUCGGCAUUGUAGGGUUCACUGGAUUGCGGCAGCGGGCACUGGUGGCCCUGACUGUGACCAGCGUGGUUCCGGUCACUCAGUACCUGACCUCAGAGUUCUACGCCGUGAACUACAGCCUGUCCCAGCGCCUGGACAUCUUGGAUGUGCUGGUGCUCUCUGCCCAGGAACUGGCCCAGCCUGGACCUGCAGCAGGCAGCCUGUCAGACAAGAGCGCAGACCCGUUCCUUCAACUGCAGCACAGGGUGGUGUCCGACCCCAGCCAGCACUGGAAACAAAUCAUCGAGCAGAGGCUGCAGAACAAGACCCGUCGCUUUAGUAAAGGCUCGUUGAGACCAAGACGUCAGGCAUCUCCCAACCGUCUGGGUCCAGUGGCCGGACAUUUCUUCUUCCCCUUGAUCAACAACUACGACAGACCUCAGGCUGCCUACGACUUCCUGUCGGAGCCACUGAUGCUUGGCCGUCUGACCCACAGUCUUGCUGUCUUGGUGUACCUGUCCGUCAAUGUGCCGAUUGCCAUUUCCAUGGGCAUGGCUCUGCUCGGAUUCACCUGGGCCCUUCGUUACCACCCAGACACUGAUGGUGCCUUUCCCGCCUCAGGUAUGUUCGGCAGGGAACACUCUUUGGCUUCUCCUCCUUGCUGCUGACCGUUCCCAGUGACCGGCUCCUGGCUGAUGUUCCCGAUGAGCUCCUGGAAGCGAGAUCUUGGCUGGCGGACAUCGCCGGGAAUGAUCCUGACACUGAAUGCCGCCGGCUGGCUCUGCAGAACCUCCUGCUGAUGGAAAACCUCAAGAAGAACCUGGCAAUCUGCUCAGAGUAGGUGGACCCCUCCACGGGCAGGACCCAGAGGGGAGCAGUUCUGUGCCAUCACCAGGAGGAGCCACUGGGCCCCGGGGACAGUACUGGCGGCCUGUAAAUGCAGAUCUGGAUGGUGUGACGUGGGGCAGCGGACCACCCCUCCUGUGUCGGCAGAGGUGGGUUAGUGUCAUCAGGGGACUCUGGCCAUCUGUAUAUCCUCGGCAAGGACCACUGAACCCGAGGAGUCUUGGUCCCGGGAUUUAGGAAAUCCCCUUGUACUGAACUCUCCUGCUGCCCCAGGAGUGACAGGACUGCCAUGGCAGCUUUCAACCCAACCUACUGACUGGCAAUGACUUCCCGCACCACCGGGCAAGUUUAAAUCCUCAGUAAAAUGAACAUUUGUCUGUUGUGUAACUAUGGUUUCUGUGUUUGUGGUGCCUAGGGAGGGUAGACACAGUCCCAGCUUUUAACCUUCGAUUUGGCCGUGGGUCACUGGCUCCCUGCCCUGCACAUCACACUGGUUGGACUUCAUUCCUCUUAUCUUGUCAUUUCAAACAAUGGACAGAAUGUUCCAGAAACAAAGAGAUUUAUUUCCAUCUUUACAAAAUUAACAGUGCUUGCUAUGGCCAAUCGCACUCGGCGUUCCAGUUCAUUCCCAGGCCUGGGUGACAUUCAGAGUGGAAGGAAACACCGCUCACAACCUUUUGAACAGGAUCUGGUGUCACGGAAAUAUAUCUGAGGGGAGCGAUCGGUUUACAGACCAACCGUUCUGAGCUUCAAAUAUCAUUCCCCCAGGAGCUUAAAUCGAUCGUGUUUUAUCCACAUCUCAAAGCCCCACUGAAUGCAGUUAUCACAGAGAAAUUACAGGCCCUGCUGUUUGAACUUUGUGCUGCUUGGGUUAUAAGGAAGCGAGGCCACUCAAGCACAGGUUAAUGUAAACCUCCCUCAUUGCCAGGAAUAGGUUAAUUAUGGAGUAAAAUCCUUCAUCCCAUGAUGGUGUGGGGCAAGGUACCAGGAUCUGUGUGGGCUGGUCAGAGUUAGGCUGUCAGAUGGUGUUGCCCUCACCCUUGUCAGGGGUUAAAGAAUAAGAUAAGGCCUAGAUAGACUGGACAUGGAGAGGAUGUUUCCUGUGUGGAACCUAGGACCAGAGGGAAUGGCCUCAGAAUAGAGGGACGUCUAUUUAGAACAGAGAUGAGGAAUUUCUUUAGCCAGAGGGUGGUGAAUCUAUGGAAUUCAUUGUCACAGACAGCUAUGGAGGACGUUAUUGAGUGUAUUUAAAGUGGGGGUUGAUAGGUUCUUGAUUAGUCUGGGCAUCAAAGGUUCUCAGGAAGUGUGAGAACGGGGUUGAAAGAGAAAAUAAAUCAUCUGUAAUGGAAUAAGCCAAAUGGCCUACUGAUGGUCUUACGAUAAGGAAAGUUCACUUUAGUGCAGACUGAAGCUGAACCAGAUCCAGAUCCAGUGAAAAAGGCAGCAAGUUCCAGUGAGCACAAUUCGGUGUCAGACAAUCCUGCCACAUCUCAUCAACAGAUUCAGGCACCCGCCAUCUCCCCAUCCAAAUGCGUGAAGCUGUCCCAGCAUCUACAAGGCAGGCAGGAAUGGGGCGUUCAGUCCCAGCACUGUCAGAAAAUGAAAGGGGAAGCAGGAGGCCUUGCCCACAUUGGUAUAAUUUACUUAAACAGAGUUCACCGCAUAAAUAUUAAAUUGCACGUUUUUUUAUAAAGCUGUAAUUCCAAUAAAUAAAACCUUACUUUACAAAGUUAAAAACAUUAGUGAGAUUUAAAUGGGUUAAACAAUUGCACAGAACAAUGAAAGUCAGUGACAUAUCCCAGAGGCCGUGGUCACAGUGCAUUCAGAUAAGAUAAAAGCUCACUGUCAUAUGGAUGAUCUGGAGUCAAACUCCUCUUUUGGAAGUGCUCCUCACUCUUCCCCAUACUAAACUCUGUCUGCCAGGUUUUCAAACAAUCACUCAGUGACCAUAUCACAAUGUUCUCAUUGCAGUGUGCCUGCCACAUGCUCUCUCUGCAAACUCAAGGCCUGAUGGUAAUAAUUACAUGGAGGGUCCCACAGCAGCUGUAUCCCUGUAGCAGGAAAUCAAAUUAACAUGGGGGGUGCUCAAGAUUUCUAAAGUCCUCAGCAGAGAAACUAACCAUGGGGGGGAAUUAACAAACUUCCUAUUCUCACCACCCCUUCGCCUCCUGCCACUGUGCAUGACUUUUCCUUGGAAGGGUGGGGAGGGUUUACCCCGUGGCUGUAGUCAAAGGGUUUGAUAAAAAAUGAAGUGACAGAGCCCCAGGUCUGCACACACUAGAAACCAGUUUUCAUAAACUUGCAAACAGCAUUUGUGUGACCAUAACUGGAUUCCUGGUGUUCCAGGGAGACUCGGACAGAACUCGCAAGUGGACUGGGUUCCAGUGGAAAUAGUUGGGAGCGUGAUAAACAAGAUCUCAAAAGAAUCUGAAAUAAAAGGUGAAGCCACUUUAUUCAGCACAGAGCAAGAGUCUGAUAGUUGGGCAAGUGGAUUCAACAAAUCAGCACAUCACCUUCCAAAGAGAGGUAGAUCAUCCCUGAUAAAAUAGUCAUGGGGGGAGAGAGGAAUGAGUAUGGAUAGGGUCAGUGGGAACCGGUCAGAACGGUCACACAGCUGAGUUGCUCCCGAUCAGACAAGUGGCUGAAAAGUGAAUGGGUGUUCUAUCUCAAACACAAGAGAUUCUGGAAGACCAGAGCAACACAAACGAAGUACUGGAGGAAUUCAGCAGGUCAGGCAGUAUCUAUGGAGGGGAGUGAACAGUUACUAUUUCAGGCCA